ensembl:lncRNA
UUUUCUCUUCUCUCUCCUGUUCUUUCUACUUUUCUGUAAAGUGUUUUGUGACAUGUUGUGUGUGUGAAGCAACACUUUAAAUAAAUGUUGAUUUGACUAGAGGCCAUCUGCCAGGUCCUGACUGCCUGGAUGGAACAGAUGCUGAACCGGACCUGCAACGACAUUUACAGUGCCAGUGUCAUCAUCCAGAAAGGAUUGGAUUCUGGUGCCAGGGACAGUUUCCCUGACACUCCGUGUCCUUCUUCAUCAGAGGAAGAAGAUGAGGUGGUCGCGAGUGUCAUGACUUUCUUACACUCGGAGCCCUCCACCUCAACCAAGGCAGCACAGGCAGCUCCUGCAAAGACCCUGGCGGUCAACCCCUGUCUGGAUGAAGAUGAGGUAGUCCCCAGCACCUCCAUGAUUGAGGGCUCCCUAACGACCACUCAGGCAGCAUGGGCAGCUUCUGCACAGAUCUUGGAAGAAGAGGUUGGGGGAGCUGAUGUCUCUGAGCUGAGUAUCGGCUCCCUGACCCCCACCGAGGCCAGGCAGGACCUCCUGGAGAAGAUUCCCUCUCUCCUGCCGGGUGAGAUCCUCAUCGAAGAAGACAUCCCCCUUCUCAGCACUCCCAGGGACACCGUUAUGAGCCCCCAGACCCUGAAGCUCAUCCUCCAGGGCAUCAUGCGCCGACUGGAGGCCUCAGAGUCCCCCCGGGCUAGGAGGGCCAACGACCCCUUCAGGCUGAUGAAGGAUCUCUUUCUGGAGGUCCAGCAUGCCCUUAAGUAUGCUGACAUCUCUGUCCUCUUCAGCCUGGAGGAGAGCAUUCAAUUCAGGGGGGAAGAUGCAAUGAAGGCCAUCGUUAAGGCUGCGGCUAAAAGGUUGUCCCUGCGCUCGGACUCCAACCGGGCUCAACUGCGCGCCGUACGCUAUGGUGGCGAGGGAGCCAUCUAUUGCAUGGCAGACACCAUCGCAAAUGUCAUAGACGACCACGCCCAGGACUGGAGUUCUGACGGCCAUUUUGGAGCAAGUAGGAGCCGUGGUAGGGGGAGGUCACGCUCCUCCUCAAGCUCCUGAAAGAGUGACAUCACCCUCACAGAGGAACUCUUGGCCCAGGGGGAAAGCCUGGAAGAGGACCAAGAGGAUGUGGCUGCGAUCGACGACAACAAGAAAUGUGACUCUGCUAGCUUGGAGAAGGCCAGCAGCAGCUCCCUCUCCAUAGACCUUGUGGACAGCACCUCCACACAGGUAAGCAGACUACCAUUAACCAGUAGGUUGUUCAGUUAUUGUAGCUUUUUGAUUGAGGCACCAACUCAUCUGUUUCUCUCUCUACUAAGAAGACAGGGAAGGACGAGGCAGUGAAGGAAGGAGUGGGAAAGUCAGGAGAUUGGAAGCGUGGUUGCAAGAAGACCCUGAAGAAGAACAAGAUGGCUCCCUUUGGCACUGAUGGUAAGUCCUCCUUUCUGUUAGUCAACAUGUCUAUAUGUCUUCAACAAAAUUAUAUUAUUUCACCACAUUGUAAUGUUAGGGGAAGAGACUGAUGAAAUUAUCAGGGUCUUAUUCAUUAAACGGCAGUAACAG